GGGGAUGACAGGUUUCGACGGAUUGUGUCGUGUCCGAGUGGCGAGCCGAGAAGCGACUCUCGUUAAACAGCGCGCAGCACAGUAAGUGCGAAGAAGAUCAACUGGAAUGCCGUCCCGAUGGCUGCGUAAGCCAAAGGGCUGCAUCCGCAGCAUAGCGUCUGCGGCAUCGUUCGUCUCCUCGCGCCGGUGGGGGGCGUAACGGUGUGAUAAAGCCGGCGCGCGUUUCACCGAGGUUCGUAGGUGAGCUAACGCGGGCUGAUCGCCGAAUCAACGAACUGGCGUCUGGAUAACCCCGUUGCCGGGGAUGCCGGGCGCGAGAUUCAAACGGCAACUACGCUCGUAGUCACUCGCGGCAGGCGCAUUUCGGACCCGGGUUCGAUUCCCGGCAUCUCCACUA
rnacentral:tmRNA from 1 species